rnacentral:misc_RNA from 1 species
AGUUUUGCCGUACUGCCGUUCACGAGCCUUCUGGUUAUCAGACAUAUACCGAGUCACCUGGGCACAACUUUUCUCUCAAUGCAACGUUUGAUGAAAUUGAUUUUGGCAAAUAUGAUGGGUUGGUGAUACCGGGAGGAAGGGCUCCAGAAUAUCUUGCCAUGAAUGAAUCUGUGUUAGAUUGUGUCAGGAAAUUUGCAGAUGCUGGAAAGCC